rnacentral:rRNA from 1 species
AACGUACGCUGGCGGCACGCUUAACACAUGCAAGUCGAACGAAGUAGCAAUACUUAGUGGCAGACGGGUGAGUAACAUGUGGGUAUCUGCCCUUUGGCCUGGAAUAACACGAGGAAACUUGUGCUAAUACCGGAUAAGUCUUUACGGAGAAAGCUUUAUGCACCAUUGGAUGAGCCCGCACUUGAUUAGUUUGUUGGUGGGGUAAUGGCCUACCAAGACUGUGAUCAAUAGCUGAUUUGAGAGGAUGAUCAGCCACAUUGGGACUGAGACACGGCCCAAACUCCUACGGGAGGCAGCAGUGGGGAAUCCUGCACAAUGGAGGAAACUCUGAUGCAGCGAUGCCGCGUGAGUGAAGAAGGCCCUUGGGUUGUAAAGCUCUUUCGUCGGGGAAGAAAAUGACUGUACCCGAAUAAGAAGGUCCGGCUAACUUCGUGCCAGCAGCCGCGGUAAUACGAAGGGACCUAGCGUAGUUCGGAAUUACUGGGCUUAAAGAGUUCGUAGGUGGUUGAAAAAGUUAGUGGUGAAAUCCCAGAGCUUAACUCUGGAACUGCCAUUAAAACUUUUCAGCUAGAGUAUGAUAGAGGAAAGCAGAAUUUCUAGUGUAGAGGUGAAAUUCGUAGAUAUUAGAAAGAAUACCAAUUGCGAAGGCAGCUUUCUGGAUCAUUACUGACACUGAGGAACGAAAGCAUGGGUAGCGAAGAGGAUUAGAUACCCUCGUAGUCCAUGCCGUAAACGAUGUGUGUUAGACGUUGGAAAUUUAUUUUCAGUGUCGCAGCGAAAGCGAUAAACACACCGCCUGGGGAGUACGACCGCAAGGUUAAAACUCAAAUGAAUUGACGGGGACCCGCACAAGUAGUGGAGCAUGUGGUUUAAUUCGAAGAUACGCGCAGAACCUUACCAACACUUGACAUGUUCGUCGCGACUCUAAGAGAUUAGAGUUUUCGGUUCGGCCGGACGAAACACAGGUGCUGCAUGGCUGUCGUCAGCUCGUGUCGUGAGAUGUUGGGUUAAGUCCCGCAACGAGCGCAACCCUCACUUUUAGUUGCCAUCAUUAAGUUGGGCACUCUGAAAGAACUGCCAGUGAUAAGCUGGAGGAAGGUGGGGAUGACGUCAAGUCCUCAUGGCCCUUACGUGUUGGGCUACACACGUGCUACAAUGGUAUCUACAACAGGAAGCAAGACUGCGAGGUCAAGCAAAUCCUUAAAAGAUACCUCAGUUCGGAUUGCGCUCUGCAACUCGAGUGCGUGAAGCUGGAAUUACUAGUAAUCGUGGAUCAGCGUGCCACGGUGAAAUGCGUUUCCCGGGUCU